rnacentral:rRNA from 1 species
UACGAAGGGGGCUAGCGUUGCUCGGAAUCACUGGGCGUAAAGCGCACGUAGGCGGAUCUUUAAGUCAGGGGUGAAAUCCUGGAGCUCAACUCCAGAACUGCCUUUUGAUACUGGGGAUCUCGAGUCCGGAAGAGGUGAGUGGAACUCCGAGUGUAGAGGUGAAAUUCGUAGAUAUUCGGAAAGAACACCAGUGGCGAAGGGCGGCUCACUGGUCCGGUACUGACGCUGAGGUGCGAAAGCGUGGGAGCAACAG